CGGCGGACGGGUUAGUAACGCGUGGGAAUAUGCCCAAAGGUACGGAACAACAGCUGGAAACGGCUGCUAAUACCGUAUGUGCCCUACGGGGGAAAGAUUUAUCGCCUUUGGAUUAGCCCGCGUUGGAUUAGCUAGUUGGUGAGGUAACGGCUCACCAAGGCGACGAUCCAUAGCUGGUUUGAGAGGAUGAUCAGCAACACUGGGACUGAGACACGGCCCAGACUCCUACGGGAGGCAGCAGUGGGGAAUCUUGGACAAUGGGGGCAACCCUGAUCCAGCCAUGCCGCGUGAGCGAUGAAGGCCUUAGGGUUGUAAAGCUCUUUCACCGGUGAAGAUAAUGACGGUAGCCGGAGAAAGAAGCCCCGGCUUACUCCGUGCCAGCAGCCGCGGUAAU
rnacentral:rRNA from 1 species